UCGGACGUAGUGUAUGGUUACACAGCCUCUUCAGUUAAAGUAGGAGUGGGGUCCUUUGGUUUGGGAGGCAGUCCCGGGUUCGAUUCCUGGCGUCCGAG